rnacentral:rRNA from 1 species
CUCCUUUUUCUAAUCAGUGAAACUAAUCUCCCCGUGAAGAAGCGGGGAUAAUAUUAUAAGACGAGAAGACCCCAUGGAGCUUUAAACUUAGCUACACCCCAGUCUUUAAUAUCCUCUCAUCAACCGGAAGCCUGUAAGCUCAGUUUUAGGUUGGGGCGACCACGGAGUAAAAUAAAACCUCCAUGAUAAACGAGACUAACCUCUUAUCCAAGAAACACACCUCCAAGAAUUAAUAUAUUAAUUUUAAUGAUCCGAUAAUCGAUCAACGGACUAAGUUACCCUGGGGAUAACAGCGCAAUCCAUUUCUAGAGCUCCUAUCGACAAAUGGGUUUACGACC